CCCUGGCGAUUUUCUCCUUGAUGGUGGCGAUUGAUAGCUCCGCCUGUUGCUGCCGCCGGUUGUGCGCAUCACUGAUUGACAAAAUGAGCAUCACUAUUGCAUUGGUUAGGGCCGCUCAGCUGUCUUUGGCUCACUCUGCCGCAAUUAGGCGGGAACAAACUCACAGAUGUGUUGAUACAAUCCGAGUCGUCUCACGGUCUCCGGGCUUUGAUUUCUUGGUUCCUGAGUCCAGUUGUCCAAUUUCCUCCUUGAUGGUGGCGAUGAAUAGUUCCGCCUGUUGCUGCCGCUGGUCUGUAUGUUUCUCCCCUACAAUUGUUGCUCUCUAUUCUGAAAUAUUAAUUAAUUCUAUUGGCUGCGCCCGUUCACAAAGUCGGACAACGUUGACAAUCACUAAACAGUAAUGCACGGAUCGCGACUCGAAAACUCGACGUACUUUGUAAACCCCAUUUCCACCUUCUGAUCCACUUCAGCGGCAACGUGGCUCGGCCUUUUCUCCGGCUCACGGACCAUCUAAGCUUCACUUUCACUACUAAUGACAAUUGAAAGAUGUUCUUUGACCAAAUC
rnacentral:sRNA from 13 species